CCUACGGGGGGCUGCAGUGGGGAAUCUUGCGCAAUGGGCGAAAGCCUGACGCAGCAACGCCGCGUGGGGGAUGAAGGCUCUCGGGUUGUAAACCCCUUUCAGCAGGAACGAAAGUGACGGUACCUGCAGAAGAAGCCCCGGCCAAAUACGUGCCAGCAGCCGCGGUAAUACGUAUGGGGCGAGCGUUGUCCGGAUUUAUUGGGCGUAAAGAGCUCGUAGGCGGCUUGCCAAGUCGGGUGUGAAACCUCCAGGCUCAACCUGGAGUCGCCACUCGAUACUGGCAUGGCUUGAGUCCGGUAGGGGACCACGGAAUUCCUGGUGUAGCGGUGAAAUGCGCAGAUAUCAGGAGGAACACCGAUGGCGAAGGCGGUUCUCUGGGCCUGUACUGACGCUGAGGAGCGAAAGCGUGGGGAGCGAACAGGAUUAGAUACCCUUGUAGU
rnacentral:rRNA from 1 species